AGAAAAAAAAAUACUAGUUAUUAAUGUGACGGAGACUUACAUCCUUGUUCUCUUGAGCUUCCGUGGAUUUGAACGUUUUGUUGAUCCAUUCUUUGGCAUCGAAAGUAUCCUCGGAAAACGCGGAUACAUCCUGAAAACGUCGAUUUUAAGAUACUCUCUUUCUCUCGUUGACGGAUACAUUUCGAGAGAGGAUUCGUUGGAAGAACGAAAGAGCAGUGGCAACCAAUCCCAAGCCUUUCUUCGCGAUGGAGGAGGCGAGGGAUUGGACGAAUGUUCUCCAGGGUACCGCUUUCCUAUGCUUCCGGUUGAGGAAGCACAACGACCGAUCCCAGAAAAGGCACAGAAUUACGGCGCGCGCGCGCUCGCGCGCACGAGGGGAUGAUAAUACGAGUCGGAUGAAGCAUCAGUUAGUGCCUAAUCCUCACCACCCUUGGGUUCUCUUGCUAUCACAGAGAAAGAGAGUGAACACUUGUCUCUUCUUCGUGGGGUGGUGCAUCGUCUUUCGACCGAUCGAGAAAAGAGAAACGGGAAAGAUUCAUCGUAUUUCUCGUCUAACGGAGAUAGACAGAGACAGAGACAGAGACAGAGACAGAAACAGAAACAGAGAGAAAGAGAGAGAGAUAGAAAGAGAACACACACACGCGCUCGGAGGCACGCACGCAUGCACGCACGCACGUGUAUACACCACAGCCGGAUAUAAGAUAUAAACGUGCCGUUAGGAGGAUACAUUUAUGACAGAACGAAGAGCCGUCGUCGCGUCGGCGGAAGUCGAGAAGAAACCUUGACUCUGACUAUCAUCAACGAUCUUUUCCAUCGACGAGAGGGAUAGAACGACAUCCACGACGAAGACGGGGUGGUGGCGGCGGAGGAAGGCGGAGGAGGGUGUACGGUGAAACUCAGCAACGGAGACGAGCGUAACGGCAGCGGGAGUAGCUCAAGAAGAAGAAGAAGAAGAAGAAGAAGAA